CCUACGGGAGGCUGCAGUGGGGAAUAUUGGGCAAUGGGCGCAAGCCUGACCCAGCAACGCCGCGUGAAGGAAGAAGGCUUUCGGGUUGUACACUUCUUUUAAGAGGGAAGAGCCGAAGACGGUACCUCUUGAAUAAGCCACGGCUAACUACGUGCCAGCAGCCGCGGUAAUACGUAAGUGGCAAGCGUUGUCCUGAUUUACUGGGGGUACAGGGCGUGUAGCCGGGCUUACAAGUCAGUUGUGAAAUUCCGGGGCUCAACCCCGGACCUGCCUUUGAAACUGUUGGUCUUGAGUAUCGGAGAGGCAGGCGGAAUUCCUAGUGUAGCGGUGAAAUGCGUAGAUAUUAGGAGGAACACCAGUGGCGAAGGCGGCCUGCUGGACGACAACUGACGGUGAGGCGCGAAAGCGUGGGGAGCAAACAGGAUUAGAUACCCCUGUAGUC
rnacentral:rRNA from 1 species